AGCCUAAAAGGGUUACGCUUCAUCUCACUCUCCUCUCCAUCCAAGACUUGCUCCCAUCUCUUUCAAGGUAUCUCUUCGUUUUUUUUUUUGUUACUUUCAUUUUCUGAUUUAUUUGAGUGGAAUUGUGAAAAGGUGUUUGACUUUAAUCUUGUUUGUUUGUGGGUAUUUGUUUGUUUGUUUAAUACUUGUGUUUUAUUUGGUUUUUGGUGUUUUUUGACGAUUUUUCGUGUUACAAAUGAGACGCUUCGUUGUUCGUUUCGCAUACGACGAGACAACUUGACCGAUAGCAUAGCGGUGGUGGCCGAUGGUGGCGGUGACGGUGGUUUCGGGACGUGAUCCGGUUUCAGGAAGGAAAGCGCUAAUUGUGCCUUAAUUGAGGGCGUAAAUUGGGCCUCCUAAUUGAGGGCGUAAACUGUGCCUUUUGGGCGUAAAUUGUGCUCUUUAUUGAGGGCGUUAAUUGUGCCUUAUUUGAGGGCCUUAAUUGUGUCUUAAUUAAGGACAUUAAUAUUUUAUUAUUAUGCCUUAAUUAAGAGCUUAAUUGUCUCAAUCAUGAGUUAUCAUGAUUGUGGAAAUAUUUUGAUAUAACCUGUUAAAUAUAUCGACUUAUAUUUUUCUUGUUUCUCUUGUUUUAUUUUCAGGAUUCUUGGAAGAAGACCCGUUUUCUUUUCGGACAUUAAAGUUUUAUUGUCUAAAUUUCCCCGGUCAUCUUGCAUGUCCGACGGUUAGAUAAUAAGCUUUCUUGAAUGAAAGAAUUAUCACGGUGAAUUGCCGAUUCUCGUUGAGAUUUAUUCUCAUUUUCAAAAAAAAAAAAAAAAAAAAA
rnacentral:lncRNA from 1 species